AAAAGCUUCUACAAGGAUCAUCAACCGGACCAAGUCAGUGGCGUGUCUAGGCAAGAGGCUGUUCAGAGCAGCCUUGGCAAGUGAGGAAGAAGGCUCUCCAUCAAUGCGGCUUCAAUGAGAGGUGAUUGAGGAGAAGCUGAUGAAUCCAUUCUGCCUUUCCAAGAAGUUGAUGAUGCCAUGAAGAUGGUACAUUGGUCGAGUUUGGAAACUCACAAAAACACAAGGGAAGUUCCCUUAGACUUUUAAAACUCCUUUCAAUCUUUUUCAUUCAUCUUAUUCAUUGCUUGUGCUUGAAAAGAUACUUAAGAUGAUUAUGAUUGAAUUGUGAGAUUGUGUGCAUCAAAUGUGAUGCAGGAUAUUCAUUUUCUUGUUUUUGAUAGGUACUGAUGCACCUUUGGGAUAAUGUAUCAGGUACCAUGGCUUGAGCCUCACUAAAGAUGUUCCUGGUCAGUUCCUAGCUUCUCUAAGAUGGCUGAGAAGUCUGUUGAGAGGGGGAGAUCCAAACCAGUCCUAUGAAGAGGGCAAGCCGUGUGUGAAGUGUUGAUCAGCCUCACUAGUGUUGUGAAGAUGAUCUGGUCGUGUCCUAGCUUCUCUAAGAAGGCUGUGAAGUCAGUUGAGAGGGGGAGACUUCAAACCAGUUCCAUGAAGAGGUGAAGCUGAGUUGUUGAGUGCGCAAAGUCUUGACGAGUUGCUGCACCAGUUUAGGCCGUGAUCCAGAACUUCUUGUGUCCAACCACACUGGUUCUAAGGCACAAGAGUUCACUGGCUAAUCCCUAGGCUUUGGAGAGCUCUACUCUUUUUCCCUUGCAAGGUUUUGUCCCAAUGGGUUUUCCUUGUAAGGUUUUUAAUGAGGGAGACUCUUCAGAGUUCCAAGCUUGGCUUAGGAUCUCCUAAAGUCAAGCUUGAGGGGGAGUGUUGAACUGAAGAGAAGAUAGAGCUUGUACAAUAAUAGGGCAAGCUCUAGAAGAUGUCCAGAAGAGUUCAAUCAAGCUUCAGAGGUGUUCUGAAGUAGUUAUCUUGUGAAGUUAAGUCUAGGAAAGACUUAGACUGAUCAUGUGAAGGCUGUGAAGGAGUUAGAGAGAAGAUGGAAGUAUGGUGCAAAGAUAGGGCGUUCAGUACGGGCUUGUACGGUCUAGGGUGAGCCAUGAAGAUGUCUAGUGCAACCAAGAAGGAAGAUAGGGCAAUGUACAAAGAUAGGGCGAGUGGUACGGACAGGAGGUCCGUACCAUCGACCGUACAGUCCACUCCUCACGCCCAUGUCAUCCGGUUAACCCCAAAUCUUGAUGUGCAAUGUGUGGGCGGUUCAAUCUGAUCUUAAGUGACCGUUUGGGAUACUUGGAGGGAAAGGAAGAUUCAAAUGGAUAAGGUGAGCUGUUGGUAUGAGCUGGAAAGGUAAAGGUGCUUUACCUUUACAGCCUUGACUCAUCUUAUCCAUCCAAUUCAAAUGAAGCAAUCUGAGCCCUUUACCUUGAGUCAAAUCGCCAGCUAGCUCCAGCAACAUCAAGACCAGUCUUCUCUCAUCCUCACCAUCCAUUUUAUCUUGUAUUUACAGCCUUAGGAUCUAGGUUUGUGAUCUGAGUGUGUAAAGGCAUAUAUAAGCCUCUUAUCAUCAUUUUGUAAUCUCUUAAGUGAGUAAGGGGGAUUUCCCCUCUCCACUUCAUGAAUGAUAAACUGUUCUUGAAUCUAAAACCCUAAUCUCUAAUCUCUUAUUCUCCUAAUCUCUCAGUCUCUUAAUCUCUGUUCCUAAGUCUCUUAUUCUCUCAUAAACACUCUCACCAAUCUCUCUUUCUAAAUUACCUAGAGCAAGCUCUCAUCUUUCUCCAUUGGAGUUUAUACACACACAUACAACCAGAGAAGAGAACUCUACAAAUCUCAUAUGGUAUCAGAGCCAGGUUCAUCAGAACCUGAGCUGAAGCUUCCGCAAGUCCACAGCUCACGCCUCAGCUCAAAACCAAACCCCUUUGACGCCAUUGAUGCUUUCCCAUCCAGUUCAGUCCCUUAUGAAGAAGAAGGCUGAAGCUUGGCGAGUUCCCUUGGUUCCUCAUCCUGUUCUCUACUUGCUCAGAUGGAGAUUAUCCUUGGAGGCAAAGGUGUAUGGAGAGGCCUAACUAACCUGACUCCAAAGCUCCUUGUCCAAGAGAAGUUUCACAUCAGGCUAAAAGAGUAUGGUGUCAAGAGCUUGGCGCCUAGAUGUUCUGAAGAAAGGAGGGAUCUUUUGAGUUGAUGGUACAAGAUGGUGGCCAUGAACUGAAGGAGAAGGAGGUGGGUGAUGAUCUAGACUCUCAGUUCCAACAACAGUCAUGGCCGGUUUCACAAAAUGCAAAAGGAAUCAACCUGGUUCCUUGUUGUAAGCGAUUCUAUAAACCAUCUUGAUAAUGAGCUUGUGUUGUUGACUGGUUGUGAUGUUGUGAUGUGAUUGAAAUCCUGAGGACUGUUUAAAAGAUUAUUAAAUGAAAUGAAUUUAGAAUCUGUCCCAGGAUGCUUAAAGAGCUUGGUUCCCUAGUAAUCCUUUCAUCGUACUAGUUAUACUAAGUUUACUAGCAGUUGUGUAAGUGCUUUAAAAGGACUAGUAAUUUAACAGUAUUACUAGGAUUACUAGGUAUGUUAAUAUGCUUAUCUCUGGUUCAUAAUGAUGCUUGUUGUGAUUAAUUGAAUCUGCUUGCAUACAUGGAUUGAAACCGAAUUGAAAGCUGUUGCAUAUAGUCUUGUGGCUGUCUUACAUUGAAGCAUUAGAUUCAUGUCUAAAUGCUGAGUAAAGAAGCUUUAAAAAAAAAAAAAAAAAAAAUGCCUAAGUAACUUGCAUAAACUGAAAAAGAAAAUGCUUGUGCUUAGAGAGAUUGCUUGCAAAGAUAGAACUUGAAAAUGACUUGUUUUAAUCUGUUGUAAUGCUUGUGAGAUUGGGAAUCAAACUUGAUGAUUAAUCAAGGAUUGAUCCCAAUACUCUUGUGUCUUAUCCUUGCUGGAGUUUGAGUGGUAUUUCAGGUUCACAAGAAGUGUUCUUUGCUCACCACCUAUCCAAGACAAGAGGAAGACUUGAACCAUUGUGUGGAGCAAUGGGAAGAUACUUGUGUGUAGAAGCUGGUUUAAGAAGCGCAGGCCACGAGGUUGUUGAGCUCCUGGUUCAAGACAUACAAGCGAAAGACCAACCAUUGUGUGGAGCAACGGGAAGGUUCUUGUGUGUAGAAGCCGGUUUAAGAAGCGCAGGCCACAAGGUUGUUGAGCUCCUGGUUCAAGACACACAAGAAGAAGAAGGUCACCAUCUAAGCCAUGAGGAAGGCUGGUGAUCUGAGGGUACUUGAAGCUGAAGGCAAAAGGGUGGAUCAGUGAUUUAAGCGCAGCUGUUAGGGUGAUGUGCUCCUGGUCUUGAAGUUCAUUGAGGCUCAUUUCAAGCUUGGAUCUCCCCAUUCUCGGUCUCAAGCUUGCGGUGGGAAUUCAAAUGACCAACCUGAAGUGCUAAAGUUCAAGACCUGUUUCCUCCUUAUCAUUACAAUAGAAUGAUAAAAUGAAGCCUGUUGCCAAAAUUCUGUGGGAAGUCCACAGCCUGCUCCAAAGAGGGUAGAGAGGAUGUUGUGACAAUGGAGAGAUGACUUGUGGUUCUGUCCAUGGUGGUUUAGUCACCAUAGCCUACACAUCAGAUGAGUGUAGAGAGGACAGUCGACAUACAAAGAAGAGCAUCACCAGGAGGGUGAUGCAAUUUAAACAAAGACCAUUGCAAGCUGAUCAUGGAGUGAUCCAGCCGAAGUAGAGGGAAGAAGAAAGCUACUCAAUAAGCCUCUGGUGUGAGAUGCUUGGAGAGUGAGCAUUGCAAGAGGUAUGGGCACACCAAGGAGAGGUGUUGGAUACUGAAUCCAAGCCUCAAACCUGCCAAGUUCAAGUGAACCGUGCCCAUGGAGGUUCAAGAGAUCAGCUCGGAUCUCUUGUUUGUAAGCAAACCUCCUAACCCUUAAUAAGAGCUUGUGUCUUUAUUUAUUGUGUAGAAUUGAGUAGAAUGUCUAUACUGCUUGCAUCAUGUUUGAAAAGCUGUUUUGCAUGCAUAAGCAUGUCUCAUAUUGUCUAAGUUCAAUCCGAGUGUGUACUGUUGCUAAUGUUUAUGUUUAAUCCAUCAAUGAAAGUCUAGCAUCAAUUAGAAAUUGUUUAAGUUGCUUGCAUCAUUGGUCUUGAUUGAAACUGCUGUGCAUAGCUUUCAUAUGUCUCAUGGAUUGAACCUGUUGCAUUCAUGUAGUUAAUGCUUUAAGAUUGUGCAUUCUUGUAUUGAUGCAUUUAAAAAUGAGCCUAAAUUGUCAAUGUAUUGUAUAAAGCUUGCAUUGUCAUUUUAGAGAUUGAAAACUGCUUGUUCUUGCCUUAUUGAUUGGCUUGUUUCAAGGUUUAUAUAUUGCUGUGACAUUGGUGAUCAAACAGGAUAAAUUAUCUUGGUUUGAUCCCAAUGGGAUGAUCUGAUCUUGCAUUGAGUUGUGGUGGUGUUAGGUACACAAGGAAAGUGAUACAUGUAACUCACCAACAGCCAAGAAUGUAGAGACAAAGGUCUUGUGCCAUUGCAUAUCAUCACUAGGACAUGUUAGUCCAUAAUCUACAGGAAGUGUAGUGUGAUUGAUUAUGCAAUGAGAGAUGGCCAUUGCAUAAUACCAUUGGACAUAUACAGUCCAAAGACUACAGGAAGUGUAGCAUGGGUCAUUAUGCAAUGAGAAGUGUGUCUUGUGAGUCUCUCUAUGGUGAUUCAAACACCCUAGUUCCUGGUUAAGGAAGAUAGUUAACUCACAAGAAGAAAGCUAUCAUGAAAGACUGAUAGUUAUAGACCAUGGAGAUGCAUAGGAUCAUCACAAGCUUAGCUCCUUCUAGUCUCGGUUCUAAGCUUGAGGGGGAGUCUUAAUGCAUAUGAUCCAUGGUCAGUAACAAGUCUUUUGCAAAAGCUUCUACAAGGAUCAUCAACCGGACCAAGUCAGUGGCGUGUCUAGGCAAGAGGCUGUUCAGAGCAGCCUUGGCAAGUGAGGAAGAAGGCUCUCCAUCAAUGCGGCUUCAAUGAGAGGUGAUUGAGGAGAAGCUGAUGAAUCCAUUCUGCCUUUCCAAGAAGUUGAUGAUGCCAUGAAGAUGGUACAUUGGUCGAGUUUGGAAACUCACAAAAACACAAGGGAAGUUCCCUUAGACUUUUAAAACUCCUUUCAAUCUUUUUCAUUCAUCUUAUUCAUUGCUUGUGCUUGAAAAGAUACUUAAGAUGAUUAUGAUUGAAUUGUGAGAUUGUGUGCAUCAAAUGUGAUGCAGGAUAUUCAUUUUCUUGUUUUUGAUAGGUACUGAUGCACCUUUGGGAUAAUGUAUCAGGUACCAUGGCUUGAGCCUCACUAAAGAUGUUCCUGGUCAGUUCCUAGCUUCUCUAAGAUGGCUGAGAAGUCUGUUGAGAGGGGGAGAUCCAAACCAGUCCUAUGAAGAGGGCAAGCCGUGUGUGAAGUGUUGAUCAGCCUCACUAGUGUUGUGAAGAUGAUCUGGUCGUGUCCUAGCUUCUCUAAGAAGGCUGUGAAGUCAGUUGAGAGGGGGAGACUUCAAACCAGUUCCAUGAAGAGGUGAAGCUGAGUUGUUGAGUGCGCAAAGUCUUGACGAGUUGCUGCACCAGUUUAGGCCGUGAUCCAGAACUUCUUGUGUCCAACCA
rnacentral:lncRNA from 1 species